rnacentral:rRNA from 1 species
UACGUAGGGGGCAAGCGUUGUCCGGAUUCAUUGGGCGUAAAGAGCGUGUAGGCGGCCAGGUAGGUCGGUUGUGAAAACUGGAGGCUUAACCUCCAGACGUCGGUGGAAACCGUAUGACUAGAGUCCGGAAGAGGAGAGUGGAAUUCCUGGUGUAGCGGUGAAAUGCGCAGAUAUCAGGAAGAACACCCGUGGCGAAGGCGGCUCUCUGGGACGGUACUGACGCUGAGACGCGAAAGCGUGGGGAGCGAACAGG